rnacentral:rRNA from 1 species
UACGGGGGGGGGCAAGCGUUGUUCGGAAUUACUGGGCGUAAAGGGCUCGUAGGCGGCCAACUAAGUCGGAUGUGAAAUCCCCAGGCUUAACCUGGGAACUGCAUCCGAUACUGGAUGGCUUGAAUCCGGGAGAGGGAUGCGGAAUUCCAGGUGUAGCGGUGAAAUGCGUAGAUAUCUGGAGGAACACCGGUGGCGAAGGCGGCAUCCUGGACCGGCAUUGACGCUGAGGAGCGAAAGCCAGGGGAGCAAACGGGG